rnacentral:rRNA from 1 species
AGUAGCUUGCACACUUUGCUGUCGAGCGGCGGACGGGUGAGUAAUGCUUGGGAAUAUGCCUUAUGGUGGGGGACAACAGUUGGAAACGACUGCUAAUACCGCAUGAUGUCUACGGACCAAAGUGGGGGACCUUCGGGCCUCACGCCAUAAGAUUAGCCCAAGUGGGAUUAGCUAGUUGGUGAGGUAAUGGCUCACCAAGGCGACGAUCCCUAGCUGGUUUGAGAGGAUGAUCAGCCACACUGGGACUGAGACACGGCCCAGACUCCUACGGGAGGCAGCAGUGGGGAAUAUUGCACAAUGGGCGCAAGCCUGAUGCAGCCAUGCCGCGUGUGUGAAGAAGGCCUUCGGGUUGUAAAGCACUUUCAGUAAGGAGGAAAGGUUAAGUGUUAAUAGCACUUAGCUGUGACGUUACUUACAGAAGAAGCACCGGCUAACUCCGUGCCAGCAGCCGCGGUAAUACGGAGGGUGCGAGCGUUAAUCGGAAUUACUGGGCGUAAAGCGUACGCAGGCGGUUUGUUAAGCGAGAUGUGAAAGCCCCGGGCUCAACCUGGGAACUGCAUUUCGAACUGGCAAACUAGAGUGUGAUAGAGGGUGGUAGAAUUUCAGGUGU